UACGUAGGGCGCAAGCGUUGUCCGGAUUUAUUGGGCGUAAAGAGCUCGUAGGCGGUCUGUCGCGUCGGCUGUGAAAGCCCGGGGCUCAACCCCGGGUCUGCAGUCGAUACGGGCAGGCUAGAGUGCGGUAGGGGAGACUGGAAUUCCUGGUGUAGCGGUGAAAUGCGCAGAUAUCAGGAGGAACACCGGUGGCGAAGGCGGGUCUCUGGGCCGUACCUGACGCUGAGGAGCGAAAGCGUGGGGAGCGAACAGG
rnacentral:rRNA from 1 species